rnacentral:lncRNA from 1 species
UCAAAAUCUACAACCCCAUAUGCAAGCGACAAUAUAUGUCUUGAUACAUAAUAUCAAACAACUAUUAUGUCUAAGUUAUAUAACAAUUACCAUCAUUUGUAAGAAAAUAAAUAAAUCACUACGUGCAAUAUCUGCUCCAUCAAGUGUGCUAGCUAAAAUAAAUGUUCCCUGAUAUGGUCCUCUCAUGUGUCUACCGUCUACUACCACAACAGACCUACAAAACCCAAAUCCCCUAAUAAAAGGUUGUA